CCCUCCUACAGGGACAUGUUGGUGUCUCACUGUCUUUGGACAUGUAAGAGUUGGAGGCAAAGAAAUGUGGACUUGGGGAAAUCUGGGGCCAGCAUGCUACCUUCAGGCUCAAGGUACAUAGAAAAAAA